AUUGAACGCUGGCGGCAGGCCUAACACAUGCAAGUCGAACGAGUGGCGGACGGGUGAGUAAUGUCUGGGAACCUGCCCGAUGGAGGGGGAUAACUACUGGAAACGGUAGCUAAUACCGCAUACCAUCGGAUGUGCCCCGAUGGGAUUAGCUAGUAGGGGGGGUAACGGCUCACCUAGGCGACGAUCCCUAGCUGGUCUGAGAGGAUGACCAGCCAAACGGGGACUGAGACACGGGUCAGAACCCUACGGGAGGACGCAGUGGGGAAGAUUUGACAAUGGGCGCAAUCCUGAUGCAGCCAUGCCGCGUGUAUGAAGAAGGCCUUCGGGUUGUAAAGUACUUUCAGCGAGGAGGCGUUACUCGCAGAAGAAGCACCGGCUAACUCCGUGCCAGCAGCCGCGGUAAUAC
rnacentral:rRNA from 1 species